rnacentral:misc_RNA from 1 species
GCCAAAUAUAGAUCAAAAGAGCAAAGAUGAUACCAAAGCUAAGAAGACAGCUGAUUCAGUCUUAGGAUGUUGCUACUGAUAGAUAAUGACCUACUUCUGCAUGCAAAAGAAUGGAAUAGCCAUCAUUGUCCCAACUGUCAAAAGCAAGUGGCAAUUGUAUUAUUGAAAAGGGAAACAAAGAAUUCCAUGUCUUCAUUGAAACAAUUUUCUGCAAACAGAAUAGAGAAGCUGUAAGCAUGAAAGUCUUAGCUCCUAGGCAAGAGAAGGAUAUGGUUGCCAUUUCUCUGUUAACUGAUGCUACUUUCCUUUUGGAGUUAUGGAGUCGUUUAAAAUAUGUGGAAAUGUAUUAUCACCCUUUUUAACAUACAUUGUAGAAUCAUCAGCAUCUUCU